GCUACUCGGACUGCUUGUAGUGGUAUAAAUAGUUGAAUAUUUCCUAUUUUCUGGACCCAGCUGGUUUAUAACUUCAGAAGAAAUAAUGGAAAGCCAAGAAUUUAUUGUUCUAUAUACUCAUCAAAAGAUGAAGAAGUCAAAAGUGUGGCAAGAUGGAAUUCUGAAGAUCACUCACUUAGGAAACAAAAUCCAGUGUCUUUAAAAUCUUGUAGAUAUUUAAAAGCCAUCUGAUUGGAUUC
rnacentral:lncRNA from 10 species